rnacentral:rRNA from 1 species
GACGAACGCUGGCGGCGUGCUUAACACAUGCAAGUCGAACGGAAAGGCCCUGCUUUUGUGGGGUGCUCGAGUGGCGAACGGGUGAGUAACACGUGAGUAACCUGCCCUUUACUUUGGGAUAACUUCAGGAAACUGGGGCUAAUACCGGAUAUGAGCUCCUGCUGCAUGGUGGGGGUUGGAAAGUUUCGGCGGUUGGGGAUGGACUCGCGGCUUAUCAGCUUGUUGGUGGGGUAGUGGCUUACCAAGGCUUUGACGGGUAGCCGGCCUGAGAGGGUGACCGGCGAAAUGGGGACUGAGAUACGGCCCAGACUCCUACGGGAGGCAGCAGGGGGGAAUAUUGCAAAAUGGGAGGAAGCAUGAUGAAGCAACGCCGCGUGCGGGAUGACGGCCUUCGGGUUGUAAAACGCUUUCGAAUGUGACGAAGAGUGAGUGACGGUAAUGGGUAAAGAAGCACCGGCUAACUACGUG